AUUGAAACACAAAUUCCCAUGCAAUCACCGAAGUUAAGCAACUUUGAGCAUUGUCAGUACAUAUAUGGGUGACCACUUGGUAAUACCAGGUGCUGUAAG